rnacentral:misc_RNA from 1 species
GUCAAUGUGAAGUCAUUGUAUUAGAAAAUCAACAACAAGGGAUAGAAUCCUUUAUAAUGGUACUGUAGGAAUUAAAAUGAAUACAUUUGUAUUAGUUGCCUUUUUCGCAACGUUUCAACAUACACUUUGCACAGGGCAGUUAUUAUCAGUAGAAACACGGAGAAAUCAUACAGAGUGCGCAUAUGCUUCCUUCAGCUUGGACUGCGGAAGUGACGUAAUCGCUGUUGAAUCUGUUAUCUUUGCAUACAGAGUCGGCUGCGACAGCACUUGUUGUGCGUAUGAGAGCACUGACUGCUUUAUUAAUCCUACGGACGUUUCCGAAUUAAGUAAACGCACAUGUUCGGGUGAAAAUACCUGCAACAUGGACCUAAGUGGGAGCCGUGAGUUUUGUGCAUUUGGACUGAAUGAUCCUUCAUAUGUGACUGCAUAUUACUAUUGCAUACCUCAAAGUCAAAUUACAUCGAUAUGUUCAAGCAGCGCGUUAUCAUCAAACGGACGUCCGUUAUAUAUAACAAAUGAAAAUUACCCAAGUGUAACAACUGGCGAUGCCACGUGCUCUUGUUCCGUUGAGGUGUACGACUGUUCUGCUAACAUCAACAUUUAUAUACUCGAUGCAGAUAUGUACUUAGACACAACUGUCUGUGAGCAGAGUAUACACAUAACUGAUGGGGCAAAUACUACAUUAAAAGAGAUCAAUUGUGAGAGUUAUUAUGGUUCAGUCAUUGAAUGGGACACUCUUAGUACACAUUAUUUGAAAAUAAACUUUCUUGACGAGUCAACUCAAAACCAGGAGGGAUACUUUCUUCUAGGAUUUGCAGCUUCUGAUUAAAAUGCCACAUUCAGUCUUAGCUGUACUUCCGAAACAGAGUCCUGGUGUAUCGAUUGCGGCUCAUUGCCAACAAUUUCAUUUGUACGGCUGCAACUUAUUGAUGGCAGUAACAGUGGGUAUGACGCCAAGGCAGAAGUUGUUUGUGACCUUGGUUAUGAAGCCGAGAAAUCCACGAUUAAAUGUUUAGCAAAUGCUACAUGGGAAAGUUCAGCUGUGUGUUCAG